AUCAUUUGAGGGCUAAAUGAUGGGAGAUGUUAGAAAUGAAAAUGUUUGAACUACUAAGUGGCUUGCUAAACUCAAGGAAGAGAUGCUAUCAAAAUGGAGCUUUUUUGUUUGAAAGUAUAGGGUAUCUUGAAGGUGGUGCUGUUUAGGUUUAGCUCUACACGGGAGUAUGGCCAUUUUGAAGUUCAAUAAAUAACUACAACGCAGUAUUUCCAAACAAGUUUAAUAGUAUAUCCAAUUUCGUCUUUGGAAAGAUGAUAAAGCAGCAUGGUACAUAUUAGCAUUUGUUUAUCUUUAUGUUAUUGUGCAAGGACUUAUUUUCUCCUCAGUUGCAGCCAGGGGCGGA